UACGUAGGGUGCAAGCGUUGUCCGGAAUUAUUGGGCGUAAAGAGCUCGUAGGCGGUCUGUCGCGUCUGCUGUGAAAACUCAGGGCUUAACCCUGAGCUUGCAGUGGGUACGGGCAGACUAGAGUGCGGUAGGGGAGAGUGGAAUUCCUGGUGUAGCGGUGAAAUGCGCAGAUAUCAGGAAGAACACCCGUGGCGAAGGCGGCUCUCUGGAACGCAAACUGGACGCUGAAGACGCGAAAGCGUGGGGAGCAAACAGG
rnacentral:rRNA from 1 species